UACAGAGGUCCCAAGCGUUGUUCGGAUUUACUGGGCGUAAAGGGUGCGUAGGUGGUCAGGUAAGUCUGAUGUGAAAUCUCCGAGCUUAACUCGGAAACUGCAUUGGAAACUACUCGGCUUGAGAGUUGGAGGGGGGACUGGAAUUCUCGGUGUAGCAGUGAAAUGCGUAGAUAUCGAGAGGAACACCAGUGGCGAAGGCGAGUCCCUGGACAACUUCUGACACUGAGGCACGAAAGCUAGGGGAGCAAACAGG
rnacentral:rRNA from 1 species